rnacentral:rRNA from 1 species
UACAGAGGUCUCAAGCGUUGUUCGGAUUCAUUGGGCGUAAAGGGUGCGUAGGCGGCGCGGUAAGUCGGAUGUGAAAUCCCGGGGCUUAACCCCGGAACUGCAUUCGAUACUGCCUUGCUCGAGUACUGGAGAGGAGACUGGAAUUUACGGUGUAGCAGUGAAAUGCGUAGAUAUCGUAAGGAAGACCAGUGGCGAAGGCGAGUCUCUGGACAGUUACUGACGCUGAGGCACGAAGGCCAGGGGAGCAAACGGG